rnacentral:rRNA from 1 species
AGUGAACGCUGGCGGUAGGCCUAACACAUGCAAGUCGAACGGCAGCACAGUAAGAGCUUGCUCUUACGGGUGGCGAGUGGCGGACGGGUGAGGAAUACAUCGGAAUCUACUUAUUCGUGGGGGAUAACGGAGGGAAACUUACGCUAAUACCGCAUACGACCUACGGGUGAAAGCAGGGGAUCUUCGGACCUUGCGCGACUGAAUGAGCCGAUGUCGGAUUAGCUAGUUGGCGGGGUAAAGGCCCACCAAGGCGACGAUCCGUAGCUGGUCUGAGAGGAUGAUCAGCCACACUGGAACUGAGACACGGUCCAGACUCCUACGGGAGGCAGCAGUGGGGAAUAUUGGACAAUGGGCGCAAGCCUGAUCCAGCCAUGCCGCGUGGGUGAAGAAGGCCUUCGGGUUGUAAAGCCCUUUUGUUGGGAAAGAAAAGCAGCAGGUUAAUACCCCGCUGUUCUGACGGUACCCAAAGAAUAAGCACCGGCUAACUUCGUG